rnacentral:rRNA from 1 species
AUUGAACGCUGGCGGCAGGCCUAACACAUGCAAGUCGAACGAGUGGCGGACGGGUGAGUAAUGUCUGGGAAACUGCCUGAUGGAGGGGGAUAACUACUGGAAACGGUAGCUAAUACCGCAUACCAUCAGAUGUGCCCAGGUCGGAUUAGCUAGUUGGUGGGGUAAAGGCCCACCAAGGCGACGAUCCGUAGCUGGUCUGAGCGGAUGACGAGCCACACUGGAACUGAGACACGGUCCAGACUCCUACGGGAGGCAGCAGUGGGGAAUAUUGGACAAUGGGCGAAAGCCUGAUCCAGCCAUGCCGCGUGUAUGAAGAAGGCCUUCGGGUUGUAAAGUACUUUCAGCGGGGAGGCGUUACCCGCAGAAGAAGCACCGGCUAACUCCGUGCCAGCAGCCGCGGUAAUUC